rnacentral:lncRNA from 1 species
UUUGUUCCCAACCAUCUUGCAUAUCAUGUACUUCCUUCCCAACAUGCUUAUAUAUAUAUCAUGUGCUUUGUUCCAAUCAUGUACUUUGUUUUUGUUCUUUGUCCUACUCUUUCGCAAGUAUUUUCAUAGCCACAUUUACUUCAUUUUUGUACUUCUGGUUUAGCAUAUAAUUAGAGCUCAAUACGAGUACUGCUACUUGUAUUAGUGCAAGUUUUGUUUUUCAAAUGUAUGUGCUAUUUACCAGAUUGGACGAUAUGUACCUUAGGGCUUCAUUUGCCACAUCAUGUACUUCGGAUGUACUUUAGGUUUAUCAUAUAAUCAGUGAUUUGAGUACGGGUACUUGUGUUAGUGCGAGUUUUUCAAUAUAUGUACUUCAGAUUGUGGAAGUAGUUUCCAAUUUGUACUUGAUAUAUUCCAUGAAGUAAUUAAUUACCUUCAUGUACUUGGUGUACCUGGAUUAACCCAUGAAGUAAUUAAUUACUUGUACUUCAUAUUGUACUUAGCUUCUGUUUAACCGUCUCAGUUUUUCAAUAAAUCUACUUCAGAUUGUGAAACCAUCAUGUACUUGUACUUAGCUUCUGUUUAACCCAUGAAGUAAUUAAUUACCUUCUUGCAUCAAUUAAGAUUCAAAUUGUACCUGGAUUCUAUUCGUCCAAACCAUCAUGUACUUCAUGUACUCUACUUCAUAGUUGUUGUCCUCUGCCUUUUAUCAAAUGACAUACCAAUUACUUGGUGUACUUCUGAUAUCCGCUACUUUUUCUGCAAUCCAGUAGCAAUGGUCAGUUCUAGGUCACACAUAUAGUUACUUUUCAACUUCAUUGCUUUAGUCCAUGAGUACUGAUGCUCUUAUAGUUUUCAUAUGUAAUGAUGAUCAUCUAGAAGUUUACACACUUGACGAAAUGUGCAUAUUGUGCUGACAAUUAAGUACCAACGAGGUUCAUGAAGUGAGUGUGGAGGCUGAACCAGAACGUGCCAUGGUAGAGAAAGAUGCAUCAGGUUGGAACACAUAAUAUUGGUUGAAGUACUGAUUUGGUUGUAUUGUGGAGAUUGGUAAUUAGCUUGGUUCAUCGUUAUGUUUGCAGAUUCUUCGGUUCAACUUCAAGAUGUGAAGGUGUACCAAAGGCCUAAUAUCUCGACUAAGAUGUACAACAGGAUUGCAAAGAAGCUUCGGUUCAACUUCAAGAUGGAGUCCCAUCUUGAUGUACCACAGAUAGAGGUGGAGUCACCAUGAACUUUCUGAGUCUUAUAGUUUUAUACGUACCGUCUCAAUCUCGAAAGAAUGUAUGUACCGUCUCUUCUUGGUGUUGCCUUUUCAUUCCAUCAAGUCUUCUGUCAAAGUACUUCAUCAAGGGGAGUACUUUCUGAGUCCAUUCACACAUUAACUAAUAACAUUAUAUAUUAUAUGGGCUUCAUGAAUUUGAAACCAUCAUGUACUUGUACUUAGCUUCUGUUUAACCCAUGAAGUAAUUAAUUACCCUGUAAUUGCAUCAAUUAAGAUUCAAAUUGUACCUGGAUUGUAUAUGUCCAAACCAUCAUGUACUUCAUGUAUUCUACUUCAUAGUUGUUGUCC